rnacentral:lncRNA from 1 species
CACCUUGGCUGUGAAACGGGGUGUGUGUGGAGGGCUGGUGGGGAGGGGGCAGCCUGCGGGCGGGGACGUGGAGACGCGCAGGCUGGGGGCGGCGCAGGCGGGCUGAGGGGUCCUGGGCUCGCCAGGGCCUCGUCUGGGGUUAUGACUCCCGCGGGAAGCACGACUGCUUCGGAGAGUUCUCCACCGCCUUCGAGGAGAUGCAGAAAGCCUUUGGGGAGAACCAGUGGGACUGUGUGAACCCCAAGUACAAGCAGAAGAGGCGCAGUUACACGAACUCGGGCGUGGCCUUGCUGGCCGACCCGAAGGUGGCCGUUGACUUCACCCUCGGAACAGCUGCUCCCUCCACUAUAUCAACUCCUUCCAGCCCAGCGAGUACCUGCAGGCCCUGGUGGCCGUGGGCGAGAUCUGCCAGGACUAUGACAGCGACAAGAGGCUCUCUGCUUUGGGGUUUGGAGCCCAGAUCCCUCCCAAGGAUGAGGUGUCCCAUGACUUUGCCAUCAAUUUCAACCUGGAGGACGGCAUCCAGGGCAUGGUGGAGGCGUCCCAGAACUGCCUGCCCAGGGUCCAGCUGUAUGGCCACCACGUGGCUCCCAUCAUCUCCAAGGUGGCCUGCACGGCUGCAGCUGAGGAACGCAGCGGAGAGGCUCCUGUAGGUGGUGGGCGGGCACUGCGGGGACCGCGUGCCUUAGAAGGUGUGCCUGCUGCUGGGGAGGUGGGACCGGAUGGGGGUUUGCAGAGGUUGACAGAGCAGCCCGCGGGAGGCCCUGAGGCAGGGAGCGAGAGGCAGCUGGGUGGCAGUGGGGCUGAGAGACCAGGAGGCCCCAGAGCCAGUGGGGUAAGGUGAAUUCUUGCCCUGGAGGCUGACUUGCCGAGCCCGCAGGCAGCCCGAUGCUUAUGGUUCUCUUGGUCCAAUUGUGUAUACGUCGUUAUUUUUUUUUUUUUUUUUUUUUUUUUUUUUUU